UCCAAGCGAGUGGAGAAACAGUAGGACUUCAGCAUUUCAAGCCUAUAAAACCGUUAGGAUCUGGUGAUACUGGCAUGUACCAUUUCCUAAACAGUAAACUUGAGUCAAAACUGUCCUUAGCUCCUUUUACGUUUUUUUUUUGAUUAAACACCUAGGCCCGGCGCCAGCCUGCGUCUGUACCGGUUAAGGCCCUGGACACGCCUCUCCGCCCGAGUUUCGAACCCGCGUUCCCUCAGCCGAAGCCUCGGGGUACCACUGGACUAACUCGUCCGGGUAGCUCCUUUUACUUUCGAUAUAAUUAUAUGAUUUACUUCUUUCUUUUGGCUACAAAGCGUCCAUUUGGUUGAGCUAAAAGGCACAGGUGAGUUAUACGCCAUGAAGGCAAUGAAGAAAACCAUGAUUCGAAUCGUAACAAGGCUCACCGAGCAUGCAUCGAAAGGGAAAUCAUUUCCCUUCUGGAUCAUCCUUUCCUUCCCACUCUAUUACCCUUCCUUUCAGACAUCUACACACGUUUGUUUGAUCACAGACUCCUGCCCUGGUGGAGAGUUGUUUGCACUACUUGAAAUACAACCUAUGAAGUUUUUGUCAGAAGAAUCAGUAAGAUAGAGAUGAUGUCGUAGGCAAUUUAUGAAACAUUUGAAAAAGAAGUUGGAAAAACUACAGAUCUUGCUAAACAGGUGGUCGAUAAGAUUAUAGUUUACAGGUUGGACUGUGACAAAAAAAAAGUUCACAGAUGGCUACAAAAAUGACGUUCCCACUACAGUCAAUAAAAAGUGGCACGGGUAUGUAGCUUGGAAUAUUAUUGCAGCUUGGAAUUUACUGAAGUAGAUGAUCUAGAGAAGAGAUUGACUUUGCUUGGAUGAAUCUGAGAGAUGAACCUUCUUAGUAGUAGGUUAUGCAAAGGCUCAUGCAGUAGAAAAAUCAGCUCUCUUCUUCUAAACAUGAACUUUUUGUGGUGGGUAAACUUGCUUUUGUUCUAAUUAAUUGUAUCUCGGCCAGAAAAAAAAUGAUUAUGUUUAACAGGAUUUGUUACUUGGUAUUUACCACAUUGUAACAAAAGCAAUCCAUUUUUAACUUUUGAAUAGAUUGUGAAAAUUAAAUGAGA